AUGGGAUGAGAUAGACUUUGAAUUCUUGGGAAACCUGAGCGGUCAGCCGUACACAGUUCACACAAAUGUGUACAGCCAAGGCAAGGGUGAUAGAGAGCAGCAAUUUCACCUCUGGUUUGACCCCACAGUCAACUUUCACACUUAUUCAGUUCUCUGGAAUCCUCAACGCAUUGUGUAAAGUCCAUUUCUCUCUUAUUAGUAUGUCAUUCGCUUCUACAAUUUUAUUGACUUGUGUUGUUCAAUUAAUUGCAUUUUUUCAGCUUCUCUGUUGAUGGUAUCCCAAUUAGAGAGUUCAAAAACCUGGAGGCUAUAGGCGUUCCAUUCCCAAAGAAUCUGCCAAUGAGAGUAUACUCAUCUCUUUGGAAUGCUGAUGACUGGGCUACAAGAGGUGGGCUAAUCAAGACGGAUUGGAGCCAAGCUCCUUUCACUGCUUCUUACAGAAACUUCAAGGCUGAUGGUAGCCGUGCCUGGCUCUUGCAACAAAUGGAUUCCACAAACCAACGGAGGCUUUACUGGGUGCAGAAGAAUCACAUGAUUUACAAUUACUGCACUGACACCAAGCGAUUUCCCCAGGGCUUUCCCAAAGAAUGCGCCGUCCAUUAAAGCUGGCUGUUUCAAAAACUUUAGUGCCUAGGUACAGGAGCUGUAUUGUAUAAUGUUAAAUGAUAAAAAUUAGUAGUUAGGAAUGGCUUGAGCACUAGGCGAAUUAGUUUCGUAUUUUGGAUAUCUAUUUAUUAAUACAAUAACAAUAUUUAUUUUAAGAUUUUAAUUUUUUUAAGUUGCAUAUAAAUUGUAGAAUAAAUUAAUUUUUAGGCAUCUCCCUAUUAUUACUCCUAUUCAUAAUUAUCUAUAUAUUUAAUAAUCUUUACUUUAAAAGUAAUGUUUUUAUAAAAAAAAAAUAUGAUUUUUAUGGUAUAAUAAUGUUUGUAACCCUUUGAAACCUUAUUUGGUUAAUAAUUACAAAAAAAAAUUCAAUGUUUUCCCUUUCCCAAAAAUAAUUACUCUAUUAAAAUUAUAAAUGUUAGAUUUUAAAACAUUUAGUAUUCUAUUAACUCUAUUUCAAACUUCAAAAAACUUCAAAACUAAUAGAUAUUGAAUCAAUGAUAUUCAACUAAAAAAAUUUUUUUCUCUCAUAUCUAUAAGGAAAAUUAUUUUGAUCUUCUCUAUAAACUUCAUUGUCAUCAUCUAACGUCUUACCAUCAUAAAAUGUUCUCAUGAUAAACAUUUUAAUGACAUAAAUAAUUAAAUAUCAUUCAAAAAAUUAAGUAAUUCGAUACUAUAAAAAAUAAACAUUAAAAAGAAAAAAGAAAAACAAUUUGCUAAGUUGACACAAAAUAAAAGUUGAUUGGAUCUCCAAGGAUCUCAUAUUCGGUUGACAUUUUGAAGCCCAGAUUACACAAAUAAAGGCCCAAUUCUCCUUUGCUCUCACAAAGAGCACAACCGUUUUUCUUUCCAAAGAAACGGCCCAACUUCAAUCGACUUAAAAAUGCUGUGGAUUGUAGGACUGGAUUUCGCGGUGCUUCUUCAAUGGAUUGUAUUUAACCUUUUCCACGUCGUUUUGAUCAUCAAAUAGAAAUAUAGAAUGCUUCUAAGUUGUUGACCACCUGCCACCCGCGUGCUCAUAUUUAAAUGGUGAUCAUCGUAUAAGAACAUAAAGUUCAAACUUGUGAUCGAUAAUUACAAUUAUUUUCCUAAUACUAAAUAAUGUUUUAUAAUGGAUCAGUAUUGACUUGUAAUAAUGGUGGUAAGUAGAUUGUGACAUAAUCAAGUUGACAAAUGGCAACAUCAGUUAAUUAAUAAUUAAGUUGCAAAUGCCGCUUUUUUUAGUUAUUUACUUGCUCUGAUUACAUAAUCAAAUUUGACCCACACGAGGAUAAAGCCGCAGCCACGAAUUAUUAAAACUUUUUUUAAAUAUACCCCAAGGCGGACGCGGCUUAAAAAGGAGGGGCUGUGCUGUGCAUGAUUCGCCCAUUCAAGUCAUUAUUCUCUAGAAACUUUCGUAAGGAUAAUGAAGUUGGGUCCCCGGCGUUGCUGCCCCAUGGAAGCUGUGAACUCACUGGAUAAAGGGUGCGUGAGAAUUGAAAUUUUCCCACAGCGACAGUCUAUACUCGGGCUUUAUACGUACAAUAAUUCAAAGAAAUGUUGACUAGUGUAUAUUUAGUCUAAAAUUUACAAUUACGUUAUUGACUGUAAUAAAUACGUUGGGUACAUAAGGUAAUAAUAUAUUAGAAAAAAAAAAAGAAAUGUCCUAAAAUUAGAGUCGGUUUAGAAAAGUAGUGCAUUUACUAUUUUCUUAUUUUAAUUAUAAAAAAUGGACAUUUUGUGGAUAGUUGGCACCCCUUUGAAUCAUUUUUAAGAGUUGAGUGUUAAAGUUCUCCAUGUAUAUAAUGAAUGUUGAUUUUCUUUCAAAUAUUUAGAAAUAAAAUAAACUUAUUCUAAACUCAAAUAUUCAGAGUGCACACUAACAUAAUGGCUCUAAGUAACUCUUUUGAACUAAACAAAUGGUUCAUGAACCGUCAACGUGGCAUACGUCAAGCGCUUGAUCAAUGAAGCUCAACAGGCAACCAACACGUUAGGAGUCAAGUGUCCAAUCUGUGAGCGAUCAACAGUUGCUGUCACGGACGUUUAUGUUCAAAAUACCAUUCUUUAGCUACUAAUUAACCUACAUAUAAAAAUAAUAAAUGUGGGCUACUUUUAUAUAUUGAUCUAAUUUUAGGCUAUUUCUAUAAAUGGUGCCUCUAAUUUUCUUCUCAUACGUAUUUCACAAUCAGUGGACGAAUAGAAGGGUGUCCCACCAAAGAAAAAAAAUCUCUCUAUAAAUAUUAUCGUACGAUUCUACCCAAUCGAUGGAUCCUAACUUUUUCGGAGUACUUUUUGUAGACGCGGUCCAAGUAUACGCAACACGAUUGGUGAACGGCGGUGACAAUAUAUGGAGUCGGCUUGCUAGCUCCUUCUCCCUUUGGUUAUGUACGUGUUUGGUGAGCGAAAGAGAAAGACUAUAUAUGUGGUCCAAGGUUUAUCAUAAUUAAGUGUCAAAAUAUAAAUAAACGCUACCACCUCCCCAUUAUUCUCAACUCGCACACACAUAAAUACCAACCCUUAUAAGCUGCUUUCUGAAAACUCUCUCUUUAUUGAUUGCAGUACUAUGGCUUACUCGAAAAAUUUUACCCUGCUCAUCUCUAUAGCAAUCAGCUCUUUGAUGGUUGCUUCUGCUAGUAAUUUCUACCAAGACUUUGAUAUCACUUGGGGAGAUGGCCGUGGUAAGAUACUCAACAACGGCCAGCUUCUCUCCCUCUCCCUUGACAAAGCCUCAGGCUCAGGCUUCCAGUCCAAGAGCGAGUACCUUUUUGGCAAAAUCGACAUGCAACUCAAGCUUGUCCCUGGCAAUUCUGCCGGCACAGUCACCGCCUACUACGUAAGUUUCGGAAAACUUGACAACACACACACACAAGCAGUUUUUCUUAUAUACAAAAGAUUAGCUAGCUGGUUAAUAUCAUAUCAUGCAUGCAUGCUGAUACAUAGAUUUUUUUUUUUUUUUCUGCUUUCUUCAUUCAGUUAAAAUCACCAGGAUCAACAUGGGAUGAGAUAGACUUCGAAUUCUUGGGGAAUUUAAGUGGUGAUCCUUAUACUCUUCAUACUAAUGUGUUCACAAAUGGCAAAGGUGACAGAGAGCAACAAUUCCACCUCUGGUUUGACCCCACUGCUGACUUUCACACCUAUUCCGUUCUCUGGAAUCCCCAACGUAUUGUGUAAGUCUUUCAAAUAUCUCGUUACUUUUUUCUUUCAAAGACAUUUCUUCUUUGACAAGUAUGCUUUCUAUUUUUAUUAUUGUUGACCUGGUAAAAAAAAUUGCAUGCAUAUUUUUCAGCUUCUAUGUUGAUGGCUCGCCAAUUAGAGAGUUCAAGAACUUGGAAUCAAACGGCGUACUCUUUCCCAAAAACCAGCCGAUGAGGAUUUACUCGAGUCUCUGGAACGCCGAUGACUGGGCCACGAGAGGUGGCCUUAUCAAAACUGACUGGACCCAAGCUCCCUUCACUGCUUCUUACAGAAACUUCAAUGCCAAUGCUUGCGUCUGGUCUAAUGGAAAAUCCUCUUGCAACUCAAAAAAUAAUAAUCCAUGGUUCUCGCAAGAACUUGAUGCCACUGGCCAAGAGAGACUCAAAUGGGUGCAGAAGAAUUACAUGAUAUAUAAUUAUUGCAAGGACUCAAAACGAUUUCCCCAAGGGCUCCCAAAAGAAUGUGCAUUCAAUAUAUAACUGAUCCAUUUGCCAUAUGUCUUUGUUUAUAGCUUUUUUAAUCUUCAGUUUUGAUGUUUUGGUUCUUUUAUUCUGUGCACUAAUGUUUAGUGACAAAUAAAAUGUAUGGUUCAUUCUUUUUUGUACUAUAAGUGCUACGUGUAAUAAAAUAUUGUUACUUUUGUUAAUGAAUAGCAUUAUCUCUUUUUUCUUGGGUAACCCGUGAUCCAAAGAUAAGUGUUUUAAACAUUGAACUCUUGGAUUCAAUGUUUGAAACCAUAUAUAUAAAAGUAAGAUAAAGUAAAGGCUAUUAGUUAAAAAUGCCAUGAUUUGAAAUCGAAAUUGCACUUUUUGAAUCACGUGAUAAUAACCAUAAUAAUGGAUAGGUUCAAGCAUACAUGUUAAUGAAUAAAAAAUCCUUAAUUAACAUGUUUUCUCCAAAGCUUAAGUUGUUGAACUUAUUAUUAACACGAAGUAUGUCUUACAUGCUGAUUAAUAAAUAGUAAAUAUUAGCCAAGACAUUACAGGCAUUUAUUUGUACGUAUGUAUCUUUUGAGUUUUUAACAAAUAACAAAUAAUUUUACUCUUUCAGACAUCAAGUUUACUUGAAUUUAGCCCAUUCUUUCUUAUUAUAUGAAUUUCCUUAUAAAUCUUUUUAACAUUUUCUUUUUCUUUACCCUAAAUGCAUAUAUUGAAAUUGAGUUCAACUAGUCAUUAUUUUUAUGAAAAAAAAAUGAAGAUAUUACAAAGGAGCUGGUCCAUUCUAAAUAGCCCCACAAAUGAUGGAUGUACUGUGUAAUAAUAGUAAGCCUUGGAGACGACGGUGACGUGCGCAUAAAUAUUUUAUAUCAUAACAGCUAUUGACAGCUGCUAAUUCGUGAGUAAAACACAAACUUUUGCCUUUUCACCCCAAAAAAAACAAAAGUGGGUUUUCGAGUGACUUAGAUUUUUAAAGAAAACAAAGUGGGCUUGUUGGAGCAUUUUUUUUUAAAUUACUUUUUACUACAGAAAGAGAGAGAAGUGAUUUAAUUGCUAUUGACUUUUCUUUUAAAAAAAUAUUUAUUUGAUUAAAAUAAUAUUAAUUUAUUUAUAUUUAAAGAGUCUUUUGGAGAAUAACUUAUUUUUUCACUCUCUCUUUUACCACAUAAUUAAAUAAAUAGAUAUUUAAAAAGUAAAAUUAAUAGAGUCUUUUGUAGAUAUUAUAAGUGGGUGCUCGAAGUAAGUGAGGAAUAUGUAUGCAACCAGUGAGAUGAGAGAAUAUAAUAUUUAAAAAAAAUUAAAAUUAGGUAAAAUCAAGUUAUAUAAUUUUCUAUUUAUUAAGAAUUCUAACAGCAUGUGGUUUCAUCAAAUGAUUGAAAAAGCAAAAUAACAGCUGGGAUUCUUCAAGUGGCAUCAAAGGUAAAUCAAACUCAUGAAAUUUCUUCAUUAUGGAUUUAUGAUGGUAUUAUCUCAGCAAAAACCGUCCUAUAUAAAACCUGCGAACUUUGUUAGUGGAUGGUGAGUUGGCAAGCCUUGGUUCAAGUGUUUCUCGGUCUUAUUAGUAAUCAAAUAUCAUUGCUCUCCAUCAAAUUCAGAUUACUAUUUCUUGGCCCAUGGGUCAUUUUUACAGCUUGCCUUAUUGAUGAAUUAACAAUGCUAGCAAGCAGCAGCUUGUUAUUACAUCUUCCAUUUGCACGUAAAGAAACUAGCGCCUUCCCCACAACACCCACCAACAACAAAAUGACAAAUUAAAUGACUUGAAAAUGAAGAUAAAAAUGUCAAUCUGCUACACAGGACGAUUCCAGCUGGGAGCAAAUAUGCAUGCAAUAAUUUUGCUGCUUUCCUCAUCUCACCUAAAAUUUGUGAAAGUUUGACAAGUUUCUAUUUGGCAAAUGGUUAAAGCAGGUAAAACCAAAGGCUGCAGCUACAAGCCUACAAUCCAAUCAUAGUUUCGCAAUUUUCUAUCAUGAUUUAGAUAAGCACUGAACGCAUGCAAGUUCAUGCAUUUGUUUUUGGUCAGAAUUCGGAUGUACAAAACCUUAUCGAAAACUUACUUCUAAAUUGUAUUUUGACACAAUAUCAUACUCUUUCAUUGUUAAUAUUGUAGGUCUACGACCACAAAUAUGAUCUUGAAAACAUCUAACGUAAAUUUAGAAAAUCUAACAUGAAAUUUAAGAAACUUUCAGUAAAUUAGAUAUUUUUCUUCCUUGAAUGAGAGUAUAUUUCAUCUAUAUCUAGUUAUGGAUACGACCGAAAAUAAUUUACAUACAUUUGAGUUAUAUAAUAAAAAGACUAAUACAAAUUAGGUUUAACUGAAUACCUCAUUUUUUUACACCGUAAAUAAUAGUUGAUCAUAUAUAAUAUUACAAAAAAUCAUCAACUACAAUUUAGUAAUUUGUGGGGGGGGGGGGGGGGNNNNNNNNNNNNNNNNNNNNNNNNNNNNNNNNNNNNNNNNNNNNNNNNNNNNNNNNNNNNNNNNNNNNNNNNNNNNNNNNNNNNNNNNNNNNNNNNNNNNNNNNNNNNNNNNNNNNNNNNNNNNNNNNNNNNNNNNNNNNNNNNNNNNNNNNNNNNNNNNNNNNNNNNNNNNNNNNNNNNNNNNNNNNNNNNNNNNNNNNNNNNNNNNNNNNNNNNNNNNNNNNNNNNNNNNNNNNNNNNNNNNNNNNNNNNNNNNNNNNNNNNNNGGGGGGGGGGGGGGGGGAGGCAACUAACAUAUGUGUGUUGAAAAUUGAGGAGGACUAAACUGUUCAAAAUUAAAAUUAUUUGAGCAACCGAAGAAUUUUAUUGAUAUUUUAUAAGAGACACAACAACAAUCACUUCUCACUCUUCUUUCUCUCUUUAUUAAUUCUUCAUUCUCCACUUGAUGCCAACAACAAAAAAUUUAGGGGUAUUUAUAGUAACUUAGAAUUAAUACAAACCACACAAAAUAUUAAAUUACAAAAAUAUGACAACCAUAUUUCAUAAAAUAUCUCUAAAUAUUUGAAAAAUAUUUAGAAUUAGAUAAUUUUACGAUCAUUAGAUAUUUUUAGAGUAAAAAUAUUUAUCAUUCUCUACAUAAUUCUUGAAUUUUUCAUGGAUUGAACUUUGAAUUUGGAGUUUGGACAAAUAUAAAUAGAUUGGAUCAUGAAAUUGGUAUUGAACUUUUAACACUCUGUACCUAAAUUCCUUAUUUCUUUGUCUUAUAUGUUCCAAAAUACUUGUUAUGGAUAAUGGAUGUUAUCUUAAUGGCGGCUGUUGGAUAAUAUUGGAGUCAUUGGACCAUCUUGGUACUAGCAUGUCAGACUCUUAGCUGGCGAUGGGAACCCGGGCAGCAUCGACGCAAGUACUGCGUGAUAUAAUAAAAUUUAAAAAAUUUAAUGCAAACCGCGUGUUAUAAUAAAACCUUCCUGGUUAUUUUUGAAGCACUGGCCAGGUUGAGUCAUAUUUGCUAGUGGCCUGUACAGCUAUUUAUUUUAUUGUUACACUUUUCUCAAACAACUGGCCAGAGCCCAGCUCACUGGACUGGGCCUUCCCCAUCACUUUCCUCUGCUUAGCUUAAUCAUGCUAUAAAUGCCAAACCGUGGUCCUAAUGGCAUUCAUCUCUUCCCUUUCAAACUACGAAGUUCUUUCGGUUAACUCAACUGCUACGCAUCGAUGGCUUCAAUGUUGCAUUUGUUUCUAGUGCUUGGUACUUUGAUGGUUGCCUCUGCUGGUAGCUUCUACCAAGAUUUUGACAUCACUUGGGGAGAUGGGCGUGCCAAGAUACACAACAACGGCCAGUUUCUUACGCUUUCCCUUGAUAAAGCCUCUGGCUCAGGUUUCCAGUCCAAGAAUGAAUAUCUAUUCGGCAAGAUUGAUAUGCAACUCAAACUAGUCCCUGGCAACUCUGCUGGCACUGUUACUGCUUAUUAUGUAAGUUCCCCUGUACAGCAUUAUUAAUGCAAAAUAGCGACUUAUGAUCAUCAUGCAUCUGAUACGUAGGCUUUCUUUUCCAUGCAGUUAAAAUCACCAGGAUCAACAUGGGAUGAGAUAGACUUCGAAUUCUUGGGGAAUUUAAGUGGCGAUCCUUAUACUCUUCAUACGAAUGUAUUCACAAAUGGAAAAGGAAACAGAGAGCAACAAUUUCACCUCUGGUUUGACCCCACAGCUGCUUUCCACACCUAUUCCAUCCUCUGGAAUCCUCAGCGCAUUGUGUAAGUAUUUUCCUUAAAUCCUAACUAUGUUUGCCUAAUUUCCUUCUCAUUAAUCAAUUCAGUUAGACUUACGAGUUUUUGCCUUGUAAUUUCCAGCUUCUCUGUUGAUGGCACACCUAUAAGAGAAUUCAAAAACUCAGAAUCAAUUGGAGUGCCAUUCCCAAAGAAUCAGCCAAUGAGAAUAUACUCUUCUCUUUGGAAUGCUGAUGACUGGGCUACGAGAGGUGGCCUUGUUAAGACAGAUUGGACACAUGCUCCCUUCACUGCUUCUUACAGAAACUUCAAAGCUGAUGCUUGUCUCUGGUCUAAUGGAAAAUCAUCUUGCGCUUCCUCUAAGUCCAGAAGCAGAGCCUGGUUUUCGCAGGAGCUUGAUUCAUCAAGUCAAAACAAGCUGAAGUGGGUGCAAAAGAAUUACAUGAUUUACAAUUACUGCACUGACACAAAGCGAUUUCCCCAGGGUCUCCCUGUAGAAUGCAGAACCGCUUAGAGAAGUUGCUAAAUCAACAAAUAUAUGCAUCUAUCAUUUGAUAAUUCGUUGUAGUUAGUCGGCUAUUCAAUACGUAUGUAGUUUGGGCCGUUUGAUUCUUUGAUUAUUUGGCGAUCACAAAGGCGAAAUUGGCCGCAUUUUACCAUGUGCUAUAAAAUGUCUUGUAAUAUAAUAUUUCUUUCCGUACUUCCUUCUUUGUAAACUUAAUUUUUUAGAUUUUUUUCGCCUGUUGACAAAAGAAAUCUCUUGGUAAACUUGAAUUUAUAUGACAAAAGUAAAGAACUUUUGACAUUAAAAGAAAUCCCUUUCGACCAAUCUCCCCAUACCCAUCCCCGAUAUUUUGCGUAUGUCUCCGUUCCCGUCAAAAUUACUUGAGAGAAUCCUCAUCCCCUUCCCGAAUAAUAACAGGGGAUCCCCGAGGGUCCCCGGUCCCCGAAUAACUAAUAGUCUAAUACAUUUUUUUUAUUUUCGAUUUUAAAUUAAUCAUAUUAAAAUAAAAAAUUCAGAUAAAAAUAAAGUUCAAAAUAUAUCUUACAUUAAUAUUGAUCCAUUACAAAGUCAUAUUCAAAAUAUAAAUUAUUAAAAUAAUUAUCUUUGUCAAUGACUCAAUCUUCAUAAUCCUACAAUAAAAAGAAAAAAAUUUAUUUUUAUAUCGGCAAUAAAAUAAAUGAAAUAAAUAUAGAUACUUAAUUAAUAUUUUUAAUAAAACUAUUUACCUCCUGCUUGUCCUGCUCCUCCUUAAUAUUUUUAAUAAAACUAUUUACCUCCUGCUUGUCCUGCUCCUCCUAUGAUAUAAGUAACGUAACUUAUAAGUGCAAAUAUUAAUAACUGUAUAAUAUAAUUACAAUGUAAAAUAAACUCAUACUGCUAUUGUAAGCUCGUAACCAACUUUGACAGCACAUUAAGGCCUCCAAUGUGCUUGGAUGAAGUUUGUUACGGUGUGGGCUCACAACUCUACCACCGGUGCUAAAAGCUGAUUCAGAAGCAACUGUUGUAAUUAGAAUUGCCAAAAUAUCUCUAGCAAUUCGAGCUAAUAUAGGAUACCUAUUAGUAUUUAAUAAUAUAAAUAUUUGAUAUUUAUUAUUUUUAACAAUAUUUAUAAUUUUGUUAUUUAUUUAUUAGUAAUUUUAAAAAUAAAAAUAAAAUAAAAAAUUAAAAUGGGGAAAUGGGUAGGGGAUGGGGAUUCCACCUCAUCCCCGUCCCCUCCCCGAAUAAAAAAUUGGGUAAAAAAUUUUCCUCGUCCCCUCCCCGAAUAAAAAAUUGGGUGUAAAAUUAUCCUCGUACCCUCCCCGAAUGGGGAAAAUCCCCGAGGGUACCCGUUCCCGUGGGGAUUUUUGCCAUCCCUAACAAUAACAUGCCAAUAUAAGGAUAAUCCAAAACAAUAACGAGCAAUAUUUGUGGUUCAUCAAAUUAAAUUGACUAUACCAGAUGGUCACGGAUUUCACUACUAAACAAAAUAAUAAAUUGUGAUGCACACAUUAGGUAGAACUGGCUUAUAUAUAUCCAAGAAUAUCGUUGACAUCAAUAGUGAUUAGAAUAAUAAAUUGUUAUGCAAAAAUUGAUAGAAUCCAUCCUUCAAACUUUUUAACUUAGCAGGUGGACUAGAAUAAGUACAUGAAGAUUUGACUCAUAAAUAGAAUAACAAAUUUUAGUAAUGUGAGACUCAAUUAGAAAUGGGGUUAAUUUCGGCCUAUCCCCUCAUGAAGUGAAUUGCUCUCUUUACUAUUGAAAAUAUCAAGCUACCCCCCAAAACUCGUUAUCUUUAACUAUUGACUGCCGUUAACUCGUGAAAGUACAAUAUAGCCCGCUAAUAACGAAAAUCAUUAACUUAAAUUGUUACACACCUACUAUUUAAAAAUGGGAUCCUCUAUCUUACAUGCAUGUAAGAUAGAGAGUUUGCCUUUAAAAAUAUAUUUCCUUUGUCCCUUUACAAUUUCUAAAAUAUUCCAUCACUCAUUUAUUUUUUUAUGUCAGACAUUUUAUAGUCCAUAGGUAUAAUAAAAAUCAAUAUUAAAAUGAAAAAAAAUAAAUGAAACAUUGAAUUUCUCUUCUUCAUUUCUUUUUCAUCUUCCUUACUUCUUCUCUGUCUUUUUCUUCAUUUUUUUCCCUUUACAAGUGCAUGACAAAAGUACAAUCAAUAUUCAAAUCCAAUCCUACAAUGAAUCAAAACUAAAACUUAAUUUCUACAAACUAAAAUCCAAAACCCAGAAGUCAUAAUCUAUAACUUGCAAAGGGGUGUUGACAGAGACCAUCAAAAUCCUCAAAAUUCGGCGAGCAAAACCUGAAUUAUUUGCGUCCUUAAUGUCACUGUAGAACCAUACAACUCACCGUCGAUUUAAUCGUGUCAUUCAUUGUAUGAACAAUCAAUCAACUCAACAAUCUCAGGCGAAAGCACUGCCAUAGCAUCGCAGAGAGCUUCGUCUUAAUUCUUCUUCUUUGGCAGUCAAGAGAGUCAUUGAUUCCUCUUAUCACAACCAUUCAGCAGUCAAGACCCAUACUUCUUUUGCUCUUUUCCAAUCGAGAAUGACCACGGCGCGGCUAUGACAGCCGUGGAGUUGUAGGCCGUCGUGGACAUCAUCUUACAACAACUUUUUAACAUCGCGACCACCCAUGAUUGUUUCUAAGGUUUGGGAUUGUUGUUUCAAAUUUUUAUUUUGUUCGUUCAAUUGAGCUACUGUUACUAGAAAAUUAGGAAUUGUUGUAAUUUGAUAUUUGGGAUUCCUUAAUUUUAGAUUAUGAAUAAUCUUUAAUAUUGAAUUAACCAUAUUAUUAAUAAUAGAUUGAAUUUACUUUAUUAUUGUUUAUUAUUUUCAGUUUGGUGAAUAAGCAAAGGAUUUGAAGAAUUUUGGGUUGUGUGCAAUGAUAGUGGUUUUUGGUGAGAAGAGUUUUGAAGCUUUAGAUUAAGUCUGUGGUAGCAUUUUUCUUUUGUUCUUUGAUUUUUAUUAUAUGCAUAUAUUUUUUUAAAUACCUUUGCAAAAGGAAAAAAGAAUAAUAAUGAUUAUAAUAAUAAAUAUAAAAUAUGUAAAAUAUUAUUCUUUUUUCAUUGAUAACUUUAAUUAAUUUCUUUAUUUAUUUUUUAAAAUAAAGUUUUAAAAUACCAAAAAUUAAAAUUUAAUCAGUUCGAACAAAAUUAGACAUAUAGGUGUAAAAUGAAAAAUAUUUUAAAAUAUUAAAGAUGCAUAUCAUAAAUAUUUAAAAUAUUUGUGUGUGUUUUGAAAAACUUAAAAAGAUUUAGCCUAUAAAAAAUAACCCGCAUAAAGGUUUGACUUUUUUUUUUGUUUAUUGACUGUUAGAGGAAUGCACAAAUAUUAUUUUACCCUUUUAGCCGUUAAAAGUAACAGACAAAUAAUAAUUUUUGAGGGGUAAUUUGAUGUUUUCAAUAACAAGGAUGGCAAUUUGAAGAUUGUCACUUCACGGGGGGUUAUGCCAAAAUUUACCCAUUAGAAACGUUACAAACUUUCAAUCCACCCUUCUUUCAAGACCGACGUCCAAGCCCUUAGGUUGAGCUACGUGACUUUUUGAAACGCACAUGAGGUGGGUGGUAGCCUUGUACAAUUUACUCCAUCUGUAAAGAUGGCCUUCCAGCUUGUAAAAGGAGGGAUAUCAAGUGUUUAUAAGCUUAUGUGCCAAGUUUUAAUUUAGCGAUAUGAGACUCAAUUAAUAGCAUUACACAUAUUUAUUAGGCUUGCUUGAAUCAUUAGUUUUUAGCCUCUCAACCUUGCAAAUCUCACUUGUUUUACAGUUUUUCUCUGAUACUAACUAAUAACGACCAUUGAAUUAAAUAAGAUUGUCAAAUUAAGUUAUAUAAUGAUGUUUUAUUCAAGAAUUUUACUAGCAUGUGCCAUAUGGUCACUAUCAAAAUGGUUGAAAAACAAACAUUAGAGAUUGUUUAAGUGGCAAUAAAUUUAAUUAAUUAGAGGGAUCUCAUGAUUUUGUCUGCUUUUCAUUGGGUUGCCCGAGAAAAAGCUUUCUUAUAAAACUUGUGAACUUCGCUGUUAGGAGGUGAGCUGGAAAAACUUGGUUCAAGUGUUAAUAGCCAAGUAAAAGUUGAACUCUGAAUUCACUCUUCUCCAUAAUUAAUCUGAUUAUUAAUUCAUGGGCCAAUUUUACAGCUUGCCUAGUUCAUUGAAUGCCGACAAGGAGCAACUUGCAACUUGUUAUUACAUCUUCCAUAUUUGCACGUAAAGUUGUUGAAAAACUAAAAAGUAAAGAUAUAAUAUUCCGAUUUGUUGUAAAGGAAAACGCCAGGAAGCAAGCUUGUACAAGAUAAUAUAGUUAUUUUCAUCAGCCCAACGAAAAUUUGGUCACAGUGUAGAAGAUUUAAGAUGGGAGUUUAAAAAUUUCUCUGUUUGGAAAAGGGGAAAAAUUGCGAGCUGACUCGGACAUAAUUCUGAUAGAUUUUUAAUUAUAGUAAUAUUUUUUUUGUAAUAUAACUACAACAAAUGAACAAAAAUAAAAUAAUGAAGGCCUCGGAAAGUCAAUUCAACUUUUUUUUGGCUUUGCUUUACCCCCCUUUUUAACUUUUAAAAUCGUAAUUUUGCGUGUUUGUCUUAUACUGUUCUUAAUGGCGGUUGUUGGAAAAUCUAAGACUUAGCUGGUGAUGUGCACUAGGGGAGCAACGAGACAAUUACAUCGGUCUCUGAAAAAAUAAUGCAAAACCGCGUAAUAAUAACAAAAAAAUGUCCUGGUUUUGAUCAUGUUUGUUAACGCUACAUGCACAGCUAUUUUAUUGCACUUUUCUCAUCCAAACAACUGGCCGCAGCUCACCUCAGUGAGCCUUCCCGUCACUUUCCUCUGCUUAGCUGAAUCAAACUUAUAGAAGCCAAACCCUGGUGAGGACAUAAACACAUUCAUCGCUUCAGUUUCCAAUUUCAAUUUACGAAUAGUACUUCUAUCUUGUUAUUGCUCAUUUCAAAGCAUAUAUCAAUGGCUUCAAUGUUGCAUUUGUUUCUAGUGCUUGGAACUUUGAUGGUUGCCUCUGCUGGUAGCUUCUAAAAAGAUUUUGACAUCACUUGGGGAGAUGGGCGUGCGAAGAUACUCAACAACGGCCAGCUUCUUACUCUGUCCCUUGAUAAAGCCUCUGGCUCAGGAUUCCAGUCCAAGAAUGAGUAUCUAUAUGGCAAGAUUGACAUGCAGCUUAAGCUUGUCCCUGGCAACUCUGCUGGUACUGUCACUGCUUAUUAUGUAAGUUCCUCCCUUUUUUAGAAAUCAAUGAAAACGCAGCUAUUUAUGCAAAAUAUAUAGCUAGCUAUGAUCAUCAUGCAUGCUGAUACUUAGGCUUUUCUUUUCCAUGCAGUUAAAAUCACCGGGAUCAACAUGGGAUGAGAUAGACUUUGAAUUCUUGGGAAAUUUAAGUGGUGACCCUUAUACUCUUCACACAAAUGUAUUCACAAAUGGUAAAGGUGACAGAGAACAACAAUUUCACCUCUGGUUUGACCCCUCUGCUGCUUUUCACACCUAUUCCAUCCUCUGGAAUCCUCAGCGCAUUGUGUAAGUAUUUUCUUUCUCCUUCAAUCUUAAUUAACUAUGUUUUUGCCUUCUCGUUA
rnacentral:lncRNA from 1 species